GACGAACGCUGGCGGCGUGCUUAACACGUGCAAGUCGAACGGAAAGGCCCUGCUCUUGCGGCGUGCUCGAGUGGCGAACGGGGGAGUAACACGCGAGUAACCUGCCCUUGUCUUUGGGAUAACACCAGGAAACUGGGGCUAAUACCGGAUAGGAGCUCCUGCUGCAUGGUGGGGGUUGGUAAGUUUCGGCGGUUGGGGCUGGACUGGCGGCUUAUCCGCUUGUUGGUGGAGUAGUGGCUUACCAAGGCUUUGACGGGUAGCCGGCCUGAGAGGGUGACCGGCCACAAUGGGACUAAGAGACGGCGCAGACGCCUACGGGAGGCAGCAGGGGAGAAUAUGGCAGAAUGGGCGGAAGCCUGAGGCAGCAACGCCGCGUGCGGGAUGACGGGCUUCGGGGGGUAAACCGCUUUCGCCGGAGACGAAGCGGGAGUGACGGUAAUGGGUAAAGAAGCACCGGCUAACUACGUG
rnacentral:rRNA from 1 species